rnacentral:rRNA from 1 species
AGGACGAACGCUGGCAGCGUGCUUAACACAUGCAAGUCGAGCGGAAAGGCCCUUCGGGGUACUCGAGCGGCGAACGGGUGAGUAACACGUGGGCAACCUGCCCUUAGCUCUGGGAUAGCUCCGGGAAACCGGAAUUAAUACCGGAUAUGACCUAGGCCGACAUCGGCCGUGGUGGAAAGUUUUUCGGCUAGGGAUGGACUCGCGGCCUAUCAGCUAGUUGGUGGGGUAAUGGCCUACCAAGGCGACGACGGGUAGCCGGCCUGAGAGGGCGACCGGCCACACUGGGACUGAGACACGGCCCAGACUCCUACGGGAGGCAGCAGUGGGGAAUCUUGCGCAAUGGGCGAAAGCCUGACGCAGCGACGCCGCGUGGGGGAUGAAGGCCUUCGGGUUGUAACCCCUUUCAGCAGGGACGAAGCGAAGUGACGGUACCUGCAGAAGAGCGCCGGCUAACUACGCGCCAGCAGCCGC